AGGGAUAUAAUUCAGCGAUAAAGUGUCACUUUGACGUGGUGGAAGUCAUCGGUUCGAGCCUCGAUUAUCUCUA